GUCUUGAUUUAGUGGGUAUGCCAUUCUUAAGCCAGCAGAUAAAGUGGAUCAUUCUUUAGCUGAACACUUUGUAUGUGAGGGAUUUGUGCCAAUAAGCCCUGACACCCGCCAGAGGUAAAGAAUGUGGCCUCGAGCACGCUACAGAGAGGACUGUUGCAUCUUUCUCUCAUAUUUAAAUCUCUGAAUUUAAUAUCUUCAGACUGAAGAGAAGGUACCAGGAACAGAAUGAACACAGCCCCAGAAGUCUGUAGAAAUGCAUGCAGCAAGGAUUGUACAAUGGCGUUCUUUGGGGAUAACUGCCGUGAGUACAGACAGGUUUACAAGUUGGAGAUACCCUGUGACUAAAAUCUCUGUGAAUGCUGUUACAGAAGACAGGCUAGGUCCUCAAAACAAUGUGAGUAUAAGUGUAUCAUUUCAGUACUUGACUAGAAGUGGUAAUAGACUAUAAAUUUUGUAGAAUAGUGUUCUGUUUUGUUUAGAUUUUUGGACUUAUCUAUGUAUAUAGUAGAUUUAUAUCUCCAAGGGAAUGUAUAAUGUCUUUCAUGGCUAGAGGUCGAGUAACAGGGAACAAAAUGUUCAAAGGCAAAGAUAGAAGCAAUUAAAAAAAAACAAAAAACAAAUAAAAACGGUUCAAGAAAUUGUGAUGAUGGAAGCAAUUUUACCUGAGGUUAAAAGAGUUGUAAAUGACAAAAAAUUGUACAGAUCAUAGUAUUGUUUUACAUUGACAAUAUAGUAGAAAGUUAUAUAUGAGGGUUUUUUUUUUAAAUUGAUGAUAAGAUUCACUUUGUCAUUUACUUUGAUUGUUUUUUCCUAAUUAUAUUAUUUGAGAACCUUCUGUUCUAAAUUACUUUUAUACAGAAUAUGAAGGAAUUGUAUUAACAGUACUUCAAGUAGUCAAUUAUUUCCUAUUAUUCACUGUGCUAUAGGUUGCUCCAGAUUAACAAAACGAAGUGGUUGGUUCUCAUAUGGGAAUGCGGAGCUUUCAAGAGUGGC
rnacentral:lncRNA from 1 species